GAUGAAGAAGUAGCGAAAUGCGAUACGUAAUGUGAAUUGCAGAAUUCAGUGAAUCAUCGAAUCUUUGAACGCAUAUUGCGCCUUCUGGUAUUCCGGAGGGCAUGCUUGUUUGAGUAUCAGUAACAACCUCAACUCUUCUUCAUUGCGGAGAAAGAGUUGGAUUUGAGCAUUUCCACAAGUUCGUCUUGGAGGAUUGCUUGAAAUAUGAGGUUCGGCCGGCAGUUGCCUGGGCUACAAGCAUUUCAUACUUAAUCCCGUCAAACGGAUUAUAUCCUUUGCUGCAGCCAACAUACAGGGUAACUUUGCCAGUGUUCCGACUGAUGCAGGAAAGUUGAGAACAGCUUUUUGCUUUCUCUUCUAAACUCGAUCUCAAAUCAAGUAAGACUACCCGCUGAACUUAAGCAUAUCAAUAAGCGGAGGA
rnacentral:misc_RNA from 1 species